GCUGUAUGCUGGGUAGGACUUCUACAUAGCGAUAACAGCGGAGAUUCUAAAACUAACACAUGCGUAAAGGCUGGACUCACGUUCAGCUGGUUUUAUUAGAUACGAUACCAACCCUUUGGUUGUGAUGAAUCAUGGUAACUGAUCGGAUCGCUCUGCGAUGAGUCAUCCAAGUCUCUGCCCUAUCAGCUCUCGAUGGUAGUGUAUUGGACUACCAUGGCAGUCACGGGUAACGGAGAAUUAGGGUUCGGUUCCGGAGAGGGAGCCUGAGAAACGGCUACCACAUCUAAGGAAGGCAGCAGGCGCGUAAAUUACCCAAUCCCGACUCGGGGAGGUAGUGACAAGAAAUAACAACUCGGGGUGAAUAACUUUCGAGAUUGCAAUGAUCGUAAAGUAGACAUAUUUGAAAGAAACAAUUGGAGGGCAAGUCUGGUGCCAGCAGCCGCGGUAAUUCCAGCUCCAAUAGCGUAUAUUAAAGUUGUUGCAGUUAAAAAGCUCGUAGUUGAACUUCUGUGUUUCGUUUGAGGAUUCGUCCGGAAAACGGGAUACAUCCGUCUGCAGCAGGAUUCGUCCUGGGGGCAGACAGUUUACCUUGAGAAAAUUAGAGUGUUCCAGGCAGGCGUAGUCCGGAAUACAUUAGCAUGGAAUAAUGGAAGAUGUCUCGGAUCCGUUGUUGGUUGGGUGAAGAGAAAUGAUGAAUAGGGACAGUCGGGGGCAUUAGUAUUUAAUUGUCAGAGGUGAAAUUCUUGGAUUUAUUAAAGACUGACUUCUGCGAAAGCAUUUGCCAAGGAUGUUUUCAUUGAUCAAGAACGAAAGUUAGGGGAUCAAAGACGAUCAGAUACCGUCCUAGUCUUAACUAUAAACUUUACCGACUCGGGAUCAGGUGGGAUUUUAAGCCCGCUUGGCACCGUACGAGAAAUCAAAGUCUUUGGGUUCUGGGGGGAGUAUGGUCGCAAGGCUGAAACUUAAAGGAAUUGACGGAAGGGCACCACCAGGAGUGGAGCCUGCGGCUUAAUUUGACUCAACACGGGGAAACUUACCAGGUCAAAACAUGGGUGUGAUGGACAGAUUGAGAGCUCUUUCUUGAUUCUAUGGGUGGUGGUGCAUGGCCGUUCUUAGUUGGUGGAGCGAUUUGUCAGGUUAAUUCCUUUAACGAACGAGACCUUAACCUGCUAACUAGUGCCCUGUCUCCACAUGGGCCACUUCUUAGAGGGACUAUGCGAGUUUAUCGCAUGGAAGUUUGAGGCAAUAACAGGUCUGUGAUGCCCUUAGAUGUCCUGGGCCGCACGCGCGCUACAAUGGCACAUGCAACGAGUGUUCUGAUCAGAAAUGAUUGGGCAAUCUGCGAGGGUGUGCCGUGAUGGGGAUCGAUCUUUGCAAUUGUGGAUCGUGAACGAGGAAUUCCUAGUAAGCACAAGUCAUCAGCUUGUGCUGAUUACGUCCCUGCCCUUUGUACACACCGCCCGUCGCUCCUACCGAUUUUGAGUGAUCCGGUGAACCUUCUGGACCGAGCUUGCUUGGAAAGUUAAGUAAACCCGAUCACUUAGAGGAAGGAGAAGUCGUAACAAGGUUUCCGUAGGUGAACCUGCGGAAGGAUCAUAAUGAAUUAUUCUUCUCUGACUAUUGUUCUUGAGCCUAAUAAGGCAAUUUGUUAUACAAUGCCAUUUGACACAUCUUCAACGAUGGAUCUCUUGGCUCCCACCUCGAUGAAGAACGCAGCGAAAUGCGAUACGCAGUGCGAAUUGCAGAACCGCGAGUCAUCAGAUCUUCGAACGCAUCGGCGCCAAGAUAUCUUGGCAUGUUUAAUUCAGCGUGUCUAGUCAUCAUAAUAUAUGUGAUUGAGGAAUCUUUCACUAAGAAUGUAGAAUCGUUGAUAAUUCCGAAUGGUCACGAAAGUGAUCGAAUUAUCAAGAAACUGCUUAAAGACUCCACCUAUGUUGAGCGCAACGAUA
rnacentral:rRNA from 1 species